rnacentral:rRNA from 1 species
CGAGGGGGGCAAAUGUUGUUCGGAAUCACUGGGCGUAAAGGGAGCGUAGGCGGGCUCUUAAGUUAGGUGUUUAAUCCCGGGGCCCAACCCCGGACAGGCACCUAAAACUGGGAGUCUUGAAUAGUGGAGAGGACGGCGGAAUUGGGGGUGUAGCGGUGGAAUGCGUAGAGAUCCCCAAGAACACCAGUUGCGAAGGCGGCCGUCUGGACACAUAUUGACGCUGAGGCUCGAAAGCAUGGGGAGCAAACAGGAUUAGAUACCCUGGUAGUCCAUGCUAUAAACGAUGAAUACUAGGUUUUGGGCCCGUCAACGGUCCAGAGCCGCAGCUAACGCGUUAAGUAUUCCGCCCGGGGAGUACGCUCGCAAGAGUG